rnacentral:rRNA from 1 species
UACAGAGGGUGCGAGCGUUAAUCGGAAUUACUGGGCGUAAAGCGUGCGCAGGCGGGCUUUUAAGCCAGACGUGAAAUCCCCGGGCUUAACCUGGGAAUGGCAUUUGGGACUGCAAGGCUGGAGUUUGGCAGAGGAGACUGGAAUUCCCGGUGUAGCAGUGAAAUGCGUAGAUAUCGGGAGGAAUACCGAUGGCGAAGGCAGGUCUCUGGGCUAUAACUGACGCUCAUGCACGAAAGCGUGGGGAGCAAACAGG